rnacentral:rRNA from 1 species
CCUACGGGAGGCAGCAGUGAGGAAUAUUGGUCAAUGGGCGUAAGCCUGAACCAGCCAAGUCGCGUGAGGGAUGAAGGUUCUAUGGAUCGUAAACCUCUUUUAUAAGGGAAUAAAGUGUGGGACGUGUCCUGUUUUGUAUGUACUUUAUGAAUAAGGAUCGGCUAACUCCGUGCCAGCAGCCGCAGUAAUACGGAGGAUCCGAGCGUUAUCCGGAUUUAUUGGGUUUAAAGGGAGCGUAGGCCGCAUGUCAAGCGUGCUGUGAAAUGUCCGGGCUCAACCCGGGCCUUGCAGCGCGAACUGGCGUGCUUGAGUCCGCGGAAAGCAGGCGGAAGUCGUCGUGUAGCGGUGAAAUGCUUAGAUAUGACGAAGAACCCCGAUUGCGAAGGCAGCUUGCUGCAGCGGAACUGACGCUGAUGCUCGAAAGCGCGGGUAUCGAACAGGAUUAGAUACCCGGGUAGUC